rnacentral:rRNA from 1 species
UACGUAGGGUGCAAGCGUUAAUCGGAAUUACUGGGCGUAAAGCGUGCGUAGGCGGUUUGUUAAGUCCGUUGUGAAAGCCCUGGGCUCAACCUGGGAAUUGCAGUGGAUACUGGCGAGCUAGAGUGCGGUAGAGGAUGGUGGAAUUCCCGGUGUAGCGGUGAAAUGCGUAGAGAUCGGGAGGAACACCCGUGGCGAAGGCGGCCAUCUGGACCAACACUGACACUGAGGCACGAAAGCGUGGGGAGCAAACAGG